rnacentral:rRNA from 1 species
GGAAGGUCCAGGCGUUAUCCGGAUUUAUUGGGUUUAAAGGGAGCGUAGGCGGAUUAUUAAGUCAGUGGUGAAAGACGGUGGCUCAACCAUCGUUAGCCAUUGAAACUGGUAGUCUUGAGUGCAGACAGGGAUGCUGGAACUCGUGGUGUAGCGGUGAAAUGCUUAGAUAUCACGAUGAACUCCGAUCGCGAAGGCAGGUGUCCGGGCUGCAACUGACGCUGAGGCUCGAAAGUGUGGGUAUCAAACAGGGUUAGAUACCCUGGUAGUCCACACAGUAAACGAUGUAUACUCGCGGUUUGCGAUAGAUUGUAAGCCGCCAAGCGAAAGCAUUAAGUAUACCACCUGGGGAGUACGCCGGCAACGGUG